rnacentral:misc_RNA from 1 species
GAUGAAGAACGUAGCGAAAUGCGAUAAGUAAUGCGAAUUGCAGAAUUCCAGUGAGUCAUCGAAUCUUUGAACGCACAUUGCGCCCUUUGGUAUUCCGAAGGGCAUGCCUGUUCGAGCGUCAUUAUCACCCCUCAAGCCCUCGGCUUGGUGUUGGACGGUUUGGUGGAGGCCCCCUCGGGGGCUCCUGCCCCUCCCAAAGACAAUGACGGCGGCCUCGUUGGACCCCCGGUACACUGAGUUCUUCACGGGACACGUAUCGGACACAUGGGUUUACGGGACACGGUCUGCCUCCCCUCAGGGAGAAUCUUUCUAAGGUUGACAUCGGAUCAGGUAGGGAUACCCGCUGAACUUAAGCAUAUCAAUAAGCGGAGGA